GCGGAUUAAUUCGAUGCAACGCGAAGAACCUUACCAAGGCUUGACAUGUGCCAGACCGCCUCAGAGAUGGGGUUUCCCUUCGGGGCUGGUUCACAGGUGGUGCAUGGUUGUCGUCAGCUCGUGUCGUGAGAUGUUGGGUUAAGUCCCGCAACGAGCGCAACCCUCGUUCCAUGUUGCCAGCACGUAGUGGUGGGGACUCAUGGGAGACUGCCGGGGUCAACUCGGAGGAAGGUGGGGAUGACGUCAAAUCAUCAUGCCCCUUAUGUCUUGGGCUUCACGCAUGCUACAAUGGCCGGUACAAUGGGUUGCGAUACUGUGAGGUGGAGCUAAUCCCUAAAAGCCGGUCUCAGUUCGGAUUGGGGUCUGCAACUCGACCCCAUGAAGUCGGAGUCGCUAGUAAUCGCAGAUCAGCAACGCUGCGGUGAAUACGUUCCCGGGCCUUGUACACACCGCCCGUCAAGUCACGAAAGUUGGUAACACCCGAAGCCGAUGGCCUAACCACCUUGUGUGGGGGGAGUCGUCGAAG
rnacentral:rRNA from 1 species